rnacentral:lncRNA from 1 species
UUGCCUCCUUAGGUCGAAUAUGUGUCAAAAAUUGGUCUCCUCUCUUCAAAGUGGUAUUUUAAGAUGUAUUUAUAUGACCUAGGGUUAAUGAGGGGUAGAAUUCUUCAAUCAAACUUCGGAUGGGAGAGCUGGAAUCCGCGUCUACCUUCGGGUCUAGAUGCGGACUUUGACACGGAUCCACAUUUGCCUUCGCGUCUAAACGUGGACUUUGACGCAGAUCCAGCUUUGGAGAUUCUUCUAUUUCGCGAAGCACUCCGUGCCUUUGCUUCGCUUCACUGUUUUGUGCCUUAACUUUUCGCCUUUUUCGCAUCCGACUUCGUGCCAUGCACGAGAAUAGACGAGCUCCCACUCCUUUAAUUUUUUUUUGUCGAAUUGUCAUCUUUUGAUCAUUUAUCAUCCAAACUCAUUCC